AUAUCAAUCUCAUGAGAAUCUUGUUAAAACUGCAGAUUCUGAUUCAGUAGAUCUGGGUGGGAUCUGAGCUUCUGCAUUUCUAAAAGCUCCCAGGUGAUGCUGAU
rnacentral:miRNA from 1 species